UUUUGCCCCAGAUCCCUAACUGGCCCCCUCAAGGACUGAACUCACAACCCUGCAUUUAGCAGAGCAAUGCUCAAUCCGCUGAGCCAUCCCUCCCGCCCAAGUGAAGUCCCACAGAUU